rnacentral:rRNA from 1 species
AAAGCGUGGGUAUCGAACAGGAUUAGAUACCCUGGUAGUCCACGCAGUAAACGAUGAAUACUAACUGUCUGGCCCGAUUGAGGGUUGGGUGGUACAGCGAAAGCGUUAAGUAUUCCACCUGGGGAGUACGCCGGCAACGGUGAAACUCAAAGGAAUUGACGGGGGCCCGCACAAGCGGAGGAACAUGUGGUUUAAUUCGAUGAUACGCGAGGAACCUUACCCGGGCUCAAACGACACAGGAAUACUUUUGAAAGGAGGUAGCUCUACGGAGCCUGUGUCGAGGUGCUGCAUGGUUGUCGUCAGCUCGUGCCGUGAGGUGUCGGCUUAAGUGCCAUAACGAGCGCAACCCCCAUCGCCAGUUACCAUCAAGUAAAGUUGGGGACUCUGGCGAGACUGCCGGCGCAAGCUGUGAGGAAGGCGGGGAUGACGUCAAAUCAGCACGGCCCUUACGUCCGGGGCGACACACGUGUUACAAUGGCAGGUACAGAGAGAAGCGACAUGGCGACAUGAAGCGGAACUGUCAAAACCUGUCUCAGUUCGGAUUGGAGUCUGCAACCCGACUCCGUGAAGCUGGAUUCGCUAGUAAUCGCGCAUCAGCCACGGCGCGGUGAAUACGUUCCCGGGCCUUGCACUCACCGCCCGUCAAG